ensembl:lncRNA
UUUGGACUCAGUGAACCAAUUAAAUCAAUGUUACCUGGAGGGGAAUUUAUCUGUAGCUUUAAGAGACAUAAUGGACUAUGCUCUCUUGUUAUGUGGUUCUCCUUUCACUGUGGGAGAGGCCGUUGAUCUUCCAGAGGCAAGUCAGGUCCCCGUUGAUCUUCCAGAGUCAAGGUCCAGUCAAGUCACCCCUGACCGUCCAGAGUCAGGUCAAGUCACCAUUAACCCCCAUGAGUCAAGUAAAACCACAGUUAAACUUCAUGAGUCAAGUCACCGUCGAUCUUCGUGAACAAGAUCAAGUCACCGUCAAGCUCCCAGAAUCAAGGUCCAGUCAAGUCACCGCUGACCGUCCAGAGUCAGGUCAAGUCACCGCUGACCGUCCAGAGUCAGGUCAAGUCACCAUUAACACCCAUGAGUCAAGUAAAACCACAGUUAAACUUCAUGAGUCAAGUCACUGUUAAUCUUUAUGAGCCCAGUCAAAUCACUACCGAUCUUCCAGAACAUCAUCACGUCUCAACAGAUCUUCCAGAGCUUCAUCAUACCACAACAGAUCAUCCAGAGCCUUGUAACGUCUCAGCUGAACUUCCAGAGCCUCGUCACAUCCUGUCUGUUGCACCCAGCAAUGUUCUCUCAGCCUGUUGUGUUGCUGUGAAGGAGACUGUUACCGCUGUGGAACCUCCAGAGGUGGCGGCAACUGCUGCAGAACCUUCGGAGCUGUCAGUAGUAUCCAUCCAUGAACUCUCGUCCUAUCCUGUCAUGGUCACGGAGGCCAUCCACCUACUCGCUGUCUGUCCUGCCACGGAGGCCAUCCAUGAACUCCCCGCCUGUCCCGUCACGGCUAUGGAGGCCGUCUAUGAACUCUCGUUCAUUCCUGUCAUGGCUAUGGAGGCCAUCUGUGAACUUUCAACCUGCCUUAUGGCCACAGAGGCCACCAUUAAUCUGUUUGUUAUCUGUUCCAGUCCCACCUAACCAGACUUGCUCUCCUGUGCCAUCGACUCCACUGUGGUGGUCCUCUGCUCUGCCCUGGUGGGCUUCGGUCUCGUCUGCUCGGCUUUGGUGGUCCUCUGCUCUGCCCUGGUGGGCUCUGGCUCCACCCUGGUGGGCUCCGGCACCACCUGCUCCUGCCCUGGCGGGCUCCUGUUCCCGAGUUAAGCCCACGGCGGGCUCCUGUUCCCCAUGUUAGGCCCAGGAAGGGCUCCUGUUCCCCAGUUAAGCCCAGGAAGGGCUCCAGUUCUGCCUGAUCCACCCUGGCUUCCUCUCUGCUGGCUCUGCCCCGGUCCCCGGCCACUCCUCUUCCACACAGAAC